CUCAGAACGAACGCUUGCGGCAUGCCUAACACAUGCAAGUCGAACGAAAUCUUCGGAUUUAGUGGCGAACGGGUGAGUAACAUGUGGGAAUCUACCUAAAGGUUCGGAAUAACUUCGGGAAACUGAAGCUAAUACCGGAUGUGUCCGUAAGGAGAAAGAUUUAUUGCCUUUAGAUGAGCCCGCACUAGAUUAGUUUGUUGGUAGGGUAAAGGCCUACCAAGACUACGAUCUAUAGCUGGUCUGAGAGGAUGAUCAGCCACACUGGGACUGAGACACGGCCCAGACUCCUACGGGAGGCAGCAGUGGGGAAUAUUGGACAAUGGGGGAAACCCUGAUCCAGCAAUGUCGCGUGAGUGAUGAAGGCCUUAGGGUUGUAAAACUCUUUCAGCAGUGAAGAUAAUGACUGUAACUGCAGAAGAAGCUCCGGCUAACUCCGUGCCAGCAGCCGCGGUAAUACGGAGGGGGCUAGCGUUGUUCGGAAUUACUGGGCGUAAAGAGCGCGUAGGCGGAUCAAAAAGUUAGGCGUGAAAUCCCUAAGCUCAACUUAGGAACUGCGUUUAAAACUAUUGGUCUUGAAUUCGGGAGAGGAUAGUAGAAUUUCCAGUGUAGAGGUGAAAUUCGUAGAUAUUGGAAAGAAUACCAGUGGCGAAGGCGACUAUCUGGACCGACAUUGACGCUGAGGCGCGAAAGCGUGGGUAGCGAACAGGAUUAGAUACCCUGGUAGUCCACGCAGUAAACGAUGAGAGCUAGUCGUUGGAACUUUUAGUUUCAGUGUCGUAGCUAACGCAUUAAGCUCUCCGCCUGGAG
rnacentral:rRNA from 1 species